ACGUUUCAAUAUGUGAUUCAAAGGUGGUUCAUUAUACAGAAAAUGGCCAUAAGAGGCUUUAGCUUGGGAAUCGGACAACACUGGUCGAUCGCGUUGUUACUGUAUGUUUUUGUUGAUUAACCAAAAAAAAAACUGUUCAUAUGAGUCAUAUAGUGGCAUUGUAUGAUUUUGAUUCACAAAAAAAAGAAAAGAGACGAGUUAUCAGGAGUCAGACUUCACUUGACGCGCUGUAAGUUUCGGCGUUUAUGGACCCUUUUCACAGACUGUGAUGACGCGUUUUAACGGUCAUCAGCAUCGUAAAUUUUGCGAAGUUUUUUACAUUUUCAUUUUUUUUUAAAUGUAUGUACAUUUAUAACAUUGUACUUAGUAUUGUAUUACCUUUUCAUCAUUUCCGGGUUUCUCGGAAGCGGAAGUCGUCAUGAGAGAAUACAUUAAAUAUAUUUUUUGUGUUUCAAUUUGCUCAAAUAGCACAACUAUAAAAAAGAGAAAAAAAUAGACAGUGAUAACGGCAGUCAGUUGAUGCGAAGGUAAUAUAAUACUAAGUAUAGUGUUUUAAAUGUACAUAUGUUUUUAAAAAAAAAUGAAAAUAUAAAAAACUUUGCAGUUUUUACGAUAUCGAUGACCGUUAAAACGCGUCAUCACAGUCUGUGAGAUACAGCGGCUGUGGGAGUAACGGUAACGGUGGAAUCAGCCAUAACACACUCCCACUGUUCCCAGGACCCUGAGGGCCUGACCCGGACCACCUCCAUUUACAUGAGAAGUUGUGUUUGUGCACAAACACAGCACAAUAGAUUGACCUGGGCCGCUCCAGCUGGUGAAGGAGACUCAGAACUUCCAGUGCAGGAAAAUCUCAGCAUGUCCACUUCCUGUGAUGGAGGCAUUCAGGAAACCAAGAGCAGAAAAACCCACUGACCUUUGACCCCUCUGCUGCCGGCCAGACUUUUACCUCCACACCUUGUUAAGGUCAAAGUGUAACUAACACAAAGGAUGUACCUCCCAGACUGAGGUGAGUGCAGAACCAUACCUGAUCCUGAGUCAAACUUCUUAUCAGACCUGCAAGGACAGUAAAGCAUAAAUAACAAAAAAAAGAAAAAAAGACUAGCAAAUAGCCACAAAAAGCCCUUUAGAUUUCUAAAUGGCAAAAACGGAUUAUAUAAGAUGGCCAUGUUAAAGAUGGGUCAUUACGAACACUCACGUGAAAAGAGGAGCACCGCAGACGACACAGUGGCAUUUUUCACAUUCCUACUGCCAAUGGGCCGAUAAAUACUUUUCCCACGUGUGUUUUACCACUGAGGGAUGAGGGGAAAGAGGGGAAGUGUCCGUGUUUUCUCUUCUGCGCUACAUCCUCUUUUUACUCAACAUCUAUCU